AUUCAGAGCUUGAACAGGGAAAAGGGAUGCUAUUUAUUGGAGGUCCCCUUGGCCCCCAAUAGAGGAAAUGAGAUGAAAGUAGGCAUAGAUGGCAGCAAGGACUGCUUGAGAAACCCCGCUUACCAGUGAAGAGGGUAAGAAGCAGAAACAAAACAAGACGAGGAGCCAGAAGGGGAGGAAGAGCACAGAGAUCUAGACCUAAUUCAACCGCUGUGUGCAUAUUCAUUAUGCACAGUGGAGUAUCUACAUAUGGCACCUGAAAAAUAUCACUGAAUUAAUAAUUUAAGUCAUGAUUAUGCCUCUAAUUUCCUACCAUAUUCUACUAAAUAGACACUGUAAUGAAAAGCAUAUUUUAUUUACAAUUAUAGUUUAUGAACCCAAAUGUAAACUGACAGUAAUGAGAAGAUGGUGUCACUAAAUCCAUUUUAAUGUAAAUUGCCACAUUUAAAAUAUUCUGAAAGCAGUAAGGGCAGUUAAUGAACCUAGUACUGAUAUUCUUGUCAGAAAUGCAUGGCUUCAACCCUGAUCUUCUGUUUCAGACUGGAUGAUGAUCACUUCCUCAUCGAUUAAGUGUUUAUUGUUUCUCCUCCGGAUACUCUAAUUACAACUGUUUUUCUUCCCUGCCCCCUCGCAGCUAUCAGCAAACCUGGUUUGAAUUAGAAAGGAACAACUCUUUGGCUAUAAACACAAAUCUGUCUCCCAAGCAGGAGCUCACUUGCUGUGUGUAAAGCGGGAAAAAGUGAUGAUGUAACAAGGGUAAUUAUAACCUGAGCUAGCUGGUGUCACUGAAGGGAAGAGCCUGUCAGCAUUUCACUGUGAAUAAUAAUACCCAUGCCUCUGCUGACACCAAAUGCCAAGUGUUAGUGCUUUGGUUCUCAGAGGGCUUUAAGUCUAAGACUGCAAAUUUUAAUUGAGGAAUGUGCUACAAAAUGUUCUGCUUGCUGCAACCACGGUACUAUAAUGUGUAGUCUUUUUUUUUUCUCUAGAAUUGGAAGCUACUCCUGUACUUAAGGCCAAGCCUUUAGAAAGGCACCAGGAGAAUCAUCAUCCAGACCAAAGACCUGCCAGCCAUCAGUGUCAUCACCUCCUACAUUUGCUAACAUAUUUGCUUUUGAGGCAUUUGGUAUAAAAAGUAAUUCAACGAAGAGCCAUUUCUUCAAGCUUGAGUGUCAACCCGGCCAAGGGAGUGAAGAGGAGCGAGACAGGAAGCUCGCACACGUGGAGCACCAGCGGCGGAAAAGCCACUGCACUGUGUAUCUAAUCACAUAAACUCACUGAAAUCAGCGCAUUUAUCAAUGACUUCUCAACAAAUAUUGAUUUUUUUCUUCUGAUUAAAUCAACCUCACUGCUUGAACUGACUGACUUACAAAAAAAAAAGGUUGGAUCAAGAAUAGGGGUUAACUUUUAUUCCAUUCAUAAUGCAAAUAUUUAUCACAUCCUGAUUCUGCAGCAACUACAUGGGCCCUUAGUUUGUCAUCAUUGUAUUGAGUGGUAAUAGAAACCCAGAAAGAGUAAACAAUGUUUCCAAAGGGACACUACAGUCCCCAUUGCUGGUAUGCGGGAGGCCUGCCUUUCCGUACCAGGUAUAACAGGAUCCAGAGCAAUCUUGGCCUUUGCAUUUCACUCUACAAUUACACAUAUGAUUUCAUCUGUAUUCCUAACGCCGGGUCUCAGAGGCAGCAUGAACUUCAGUGCAUUUCAUGGGGACAUGCUGUUAACACCCUGCCUUGCUGACCUCAGGCCAUCACGAAAACAUGUAUUUAUGUUCAAAAACCAGGUGCCCAGUUUGCCUAUAUGAUAUGUGACUCUACUAGAAACAAAACUGCGUUCUCAGUAACAACAUUGUCAGCAAUUGUCAACAUAGGAUAUAGACAAUUUGGAGUUUCCAGAGAAUAAAUCAGUCAGGAGCAGAAAGGGAUUGUUUCUGUCAGAGACACCGUUUCCUUCUAUAAAUCGCUGCUUUGCAGGUAGGUAAGGACCCCACACUUGCCUCCCACUUACCUUCUGUUCCAUCCAAGAGUGCUACUCCUUUGGGAAUAAAUACCUGCAAUUUAAACUGGGCUUUGAGGGAAUAUUUUCGUGCCAUAUUAUCUGGUCCAUCUCAUGAAGUUUGGUUUAAGUUUUAGUUUUCUUUAUUUUCCAUAAUGAGCCACAUUCAACAUGUCUUGUAUUCGCAAAACAACAAUGAAUUGAAUAACUUCUGUUCUGAGAUUUUUCCUUAUAGUGUUGUUAGGAUAGAAAAUCCAGCUGUAUUAGAUGACAAUGCUGACAUCCUUCUCCAUGACCUCUCAACCUGGUAUUGUAUUAAAGGGCCAUUUUGUGGCUUUUUAAAAUCUCAUGAAUUCAUUAGGGAAGCUAAACGAGCCCACUUUCAGAUUGCUCAGCAAGAUUCCUUCCCUUCCUCUUUGCUUUUCCUGUCCCUACAUUUGUAAUCCAAAAAUCAGAGAAGCAAAAACAUCAUCACUAUGGAGAUAUUCAUGUGCCUUAUUCUUCCUUCUUUCUGGCUGUGAAAAAUAAGUCUGUGCAGAACACGCAACACUGUAAUUGACUCUCUGGUACAGCUGCCAUUGGGUCUUUCCUAUAAGAAAUUAUAUUAGCCUUCCUUUUAAAUGUGUUCAGGGUAAUAAGUCAUCCUUGACAUUCACCAUUCAUACAACAAAAUGUCUGUGUUACAAAAUCAGCCCCAAGCUUAUCAAAUAAUUAAUACCAGAUUUGUAACUGACACAGAUGAUGUCAGGUUUUUGUAUUAAGUAGGACCUUGAUCCCCAGCAUUUACUGGUUGCAAUCCUUUCACGAACAGAUUAACAUCUGCCAAUGAGUAAUACUUGGUUUCAGGAAAGAACAGCUUUUAUUGAUUUUAUUCCUAUGAUGUUUACUAGGUUGCCAACAUUUGAAGCCAAAUAUUUUUUUUUAUCCACCACAGAGCACGAAAUGGCCAAGCAAUCUCUUUCAUAAUUUUUUAAGCCUUGAGGGAAUCAUAUUUAAGGAUAAGAAAAUGCCUAUUAAGUCCUUGGCAAGGAGUCACUUCAGAAAUCAUCAAUGAGCUAACUGCCUCUAUACUUCUGGGUGAUGUCAAUCUGUUGAGUAGGAAAUAGGAAGAAAUUCUAUGACCCAGGUCUCAUAGAAAAGACUUUGAGUUACUAACUAUGUUAUCUAGCUCUCAAUUAAAAAAAAGAAAGAAAGAAAGAAAAUGCUCCUAAAUUAGUCAAGUGUCUCACUGUUGGAGUGGAAAGUUACAGAAAUGCAAGAAGGGAGUCUACUAUGAUCCAUGAGCAUUAGAUCUGGGGAGCUCCAUAUGAACUCCUGUGUAGAUUAUUACAGAUACAGAUGGUUACAUAGAGAAAUAUUUAUAGAUACAUAAAUAUACAUGGGUUAGUCUGCACACAUGUAUUUUUUGUUCCCUCAGCUGAGAGAACAUAGAAGCGAUGACACUGUAGUGGCAACCAACAUACCUGUCAUCAGACCUUGUUUUCCGAACCCUUUCUCCAAUUAAGGGAACCAGGGUUCCUUGGAGAAAUAACUGACCCGUAACACUGGGGCAGUAAACACACAAAUUUAAGCUGGAUCAUCUUGUAAUGUCAGAAAGCAAGAAAGUGUUAAAAAAAAAAAAAAACCCACAAUGAUGGGGACAUAUUAAAGGGACUCAGAGACCAACUAAAAAAGUUCCAAAUGGCCAAAGUUGUAACAAUUUGAGCAAUAAAGUAAAACAGUAUUGGAUUAUAACCCAAAGUAUAAAAUAAACAUCCGUGAGUCCAUAUUGAUAUAAAUAAAUGGUUGAAAAGUAAAUAGGGAAGAAUAGACUAAUCUCCUGUGUAGAAGAAUUCCAAGUAACUCAGGGAUAUAUUUCACCCUCAGGGAGGAAGACAUAAUUCUCCACUCCUUAAGUGUGGGCUGAACAGUGAGUAUUCUCCAAUGGAUACAGGAUGGAAAGGGGAAACAAACAAACAAAAAAACCUAACAAGCACUACUCCAGCCAGUUGAUCAAGGCUGAUAUUUACAGUGCGAAUUCACAGGGAUAGCAUGAACCCUUGCUACGAUGUGAUGAGAAUGGCAUUGUGCUCUGUGGUCUUCCAACAACCAUAACCCUUGUCUCAUCAUGAGGAAAACAUCAGACAAAUCCCAAACUGAGAGACAGUCUCCAAAGCACUUGGUCAGUACUCCUCAAAUGGCCAAGGUCAUCAAAAACAAGGAAAGUUUGAGAAUCUGUCACAGGGAAGAGGAGCCUAAGGAGACAUGACAACUAAAUAUGUAUUAUGUGAUAUCUUAGAUAAAAUCCUGGAACAGAAACAAGGACAGCAGGUAAAAACUUAAGGAAAUCUGAAUGAAGUGUGGGCUUUAGUUAAUAAUCAUGCAUCAGUAUCGCUUCAUCUACUAUGACAAAUGUACCAUUGGAAUAUUAGAGGCUAAUAAUUGGAAAAACUGCAUGUGGGGGUCUGUGGGAAUUCUUUGUACUAUUGUCACAAUUUUUCUCUAAAAAUCUAAUUUAUUCUAAAAUAAAAAAAGCUUAUUAAAAUUUUUAAAAAUACUCCCAAAUUUACUCUUUCUUAUUAUU